rnacentral:rRNA from 1 species
UAGGGAAUCUUCCACAAUGGACGCAAGUCUGAUGGAGCAACGCCGCGUGAGUGAAGAAGGUUUUCGGACCGUAAAGCUCUGUUGUUGGUGAAGAAGGAUAGAGGUAGUAACUGGCCUUUAUUUGACGGUAAUCAACCAGAAAGUCACGGCUAACUACGUGCCAGCAGCCGCGGUAAUCGUAGGUGGCAAGCGUUGUCCGGAUUUAUUGGGCGUAAAGCGAGCGCAGGCGGAAGAAUAAGUCUGAUGUGAAAGCCCUCGGCUUAACCGAGGAAUUGCAUCGGAAACUGUUUUUUGAGUGCAGAAGAGGAGAGUAGAAACUCCAUGUGUAGCGGUGGAAUGCGUAGAUAUAUGGAAGAAUACCAGUGGCGAAGGCGGCUCUCUGGUCUGCAACUGACGCUGAGGCUCGAAAGCAUGGGUAGCGAACAGGAUUAGAUACCCCUGGUAGUCCAUGCCGUAAACGAUGAGUGCUAAGUGUUGGGAGGCUUCCGCCUCUCAGUGCUGCAGCUAACGCAUUAAGCACUCCGCCUGGGGGAGUACGACCGCAAGGU